CAAAGCCUCUUCAGCAAAGCCUGUCAGGGAUACAAGCUAGCUCAAAGGGCAGCAUCCAAAGGUCUCAUUAAAAGAGUGUGACAGGAUGCCAUUGCCUUGUGCUGUGCAGGGAGGUGACCAUCUCUCUUGGCUUCUGGGCUGCUUGAUUGCGUGCUUCGAUGCUAGUGGUGGCUACUCUGAGCCCCCAGAAUCUGUAGCUUAUCCCUACCAGGGAGAGACGACGCGGCUGGAAAUGCGAAUGCUGUCUGUGUGCAUUGGUAGCCGAAGGCGGAACAGCUGGAUGCCAGGCAGGGAAAGAAGAACUGGGUUUUGCUAUUGACAGGCAAAAAGCAGCUUCAGUGGAAACUGCAAACGCAUGUGGUUGGUUCUGAGAGGACUGAUGUUGCUUAUAUAUUUGCAACGUUACCUCAAGCAGCUCACAAGAACAAAAGGCAGCUGAGAAUGAGAGCCAAGACAAGGAGGUGCGAUUCAGCUCAAAAGCAAAGAGAUCUCUGCUGACAGAAACCUGGGCCUGAUCCCUUCCGCCACAAGAGCACAAGCAUGAUCUACCUUUUUCAAGCAAAUGCGCCUGGCUCAAUCCACCAAUGGCUGGCAGAGAUCAGCUAACUUGAGGUCACCUCUCUUAACAUUUUAGAUUUUCACUCAAGCUCAGUCCUUGUUAUAUAAAACUCAGUCUCUCAAUGAA